rnacentral:lncRNA from 1 species
UGCCUGGGUUCACACAUGUAUCCACUUCUGAUGACUUGGUUAAGGUGCGCCCACCCUGGAGCUAAAGCCCACCAUGUGCCAACUUAAUUGAGAUUCCGAGCAUGCAAGGGUAGCCCCCGGCCACAGCCUGUGUGCCAAGGAAAUCCCUCUUGGCCUCCUCCCACAGACUUGGCCAGCCUUCCCCAGUGACAGCCUGGCUCUUUGGAUUCAAGCUGCCUGGUCAGACUGCAAGGGUCGUCUGCGGAGAGAAGGAAGCAGCAGUGCCAGGUUCCAGCGUGCGUUCCAAGUUCCACAUUCCGUGUGCAGACACCCGGCGCCAGAGCAAAGGCCAGCCCUUGGCAGGGGACUGCUAAGGAAGUGGAGCUCUGGAGACACUCCUGAAACUCUGCCCUAAAUCAAGGGAACCAGAGGGUCCACCAGUUCUCGCUCCAA